UAUUGUCCAUUUCUAGAUUGCAGAGAAUUCUUGUUUCAUCAAGUAACUUCCUCAAGGCUCGGCUGCUUGGGAUUUCGGAGCCGCAAAGUAGUUGUUAAAAUGGCGGGUGAAGUUGCAACGAAUGUGAAUCCAAAUGCAGAAAUUGUUCGCGGGCAGGUUUUCGAAGUUGGCCCACGCUAUACGAAUUUGGCUUAUAUGGGCGAAGGCGCAUACGGCAUGGUCGUCUCUGCAUUCGACAACACAACGGAAACAAAAGUAGCUAUUAAAAAAAUCUCACCCUUCGAACAUCAAACUUAUAGCCAAAGGACUUUACGGGAAAUAAAAAUUCUCACCAGGUUUAAGCAUGAAAAUAUUAUAGACAUAAGAGAUAUAUUGAGGGCACCCUCUAUAGAUCAUAUGAAAGAUGUGUAUAUUGUUCAGUGCUUGAUGGAAACUGAUCUUUACAAAUUACUUAAAACUCAGGCCAUUAGCAAUGAUCAUAUCUGCUAUUUUCUGUACCAAAUUCUCCGUGGACUUAAAUACAUCCACUCGGCGAACGUAUUACACAGAGACCUUAAGCCCAGUAAUUUACUGUUGAAUACGACGUGUGACCUUAAAAUCUGCGACUUUGGCCUGGCAAGAGUUGCGGAUCCAGAUCACAAUCAUGCGGGUUUUCUCACAGAGUACGUUGCGACGAGGUGGUAUCGAGCGCCGGAAAUUAUGUUAAAUUCCAAGGGAUAUACGAAAUCUAUAGACAUUUGGUCUGUGGGUUGUAUUUUAGCAGAGAUGCUGUCCCGACGAGCAAUUUUCCCUGGAAAACAUUACUUAGAUCAGCUUAAUCACAUCUUAGGUGUUCUGGGCUCCCCAUCUCCCGAAGACCUUGGCUGUAUUAUCAAUGAAAAGGCUCGCAGUUAUCUUCAGUCAUUACCAUACAAACCAAAAGUUCCAUGGACGAGUCUCUUCCCAGAUGCGGAUCCGAAAGCAUUAGAUCUUCUAGACAAGAUGCUAACGUUUAAUCCUAAUAAACGAAUAGUAGUUGAAGAAGCACUGGCUCACAGUUAUCUGGAGCAGUAUUACGAUCCGGCUGAUGAGCCCGUGGCCCAAGAACCGUUUAGAUUCGAAAUGGAACUCGAUGAUCUCCCAAAGGAAACUCUUAAGCAGUAUAUUUUCGAAGAAACUAUACUGUUUCAAGAAACUCAUCAGCAAACGAGUAACUCAUAGUUAAAGGGUGAGCCAAGCCGAGAAUUGGAAACCCAUUGGAGAAGAGGGUUGACGCCAUUACGCGUGCUCCCAGUUUUAAAGUUUUUUAGGUCUUACUAGAGAAAAUAGGGCGUAUCAUUAAUCGCCUUCGUACAGUUUCUGUGAUUCAAGUACUGAAUGAUGACUUGUUGGGGUGAUACGUCGUAUCUAAAAUUACACAUUAACGCUCUUCUUGAACUGUGCUCUAAACUAUCGUAAUAAUUUUACCAUUUCUGGUAUACAGUAGGCGAAAGGCAAAAUGGCUUAGUUUGAAUGCAGUGAACGAAGGAUAUAAUUAAGAACAAUUUUGUAUGGAACUGUGACUUUCGGUUUUUAAAGAAAAACAAAUCGAUUUUUGUAUAAUUGAUGCACUUUUAAUUUAUCCUGUAAGGCCUUAAAUGAGCAUACUUCGAUUAUUGUUUUAACAAAGAAAGAACACACUUUCAAGUCAAUCAGGUCGUUAUUUUAUAUUCGUAAUAAAUUAAUGUUUUUAUCAUAAGAUUUCAAAUACAGCAAGCACAUUAGUACAACUUGGCUUUGAUUAUCAAAAUGAGAUCAAAUGGUUCGCACGGUUUUCAAGGCGUUAGGUGCUCGAAAGCAAUGGACUUUCUUGUCAGAAAUUAUGAGCGUUUAAAUUCGAAAAGAUUGCUUCCUAAAUGUUUCGGUAUAAUAGUGUCUAUUCUGUGUCAGUGAUUCAUUGAUACUGCCAUACUUAAGCAUGCCGCGUGCACGGUGCUCCCUUCAAUGCUGAAUGUUUGUUUAGUUACUUAGAACCUUAAUAUAUAUUUUUUAACAAUACUUAAGUAUUUUAACUAUUAUUUGAAAGCGCUUUUCUAGCGUUUGAGCUGGUUUCUCUCCUAGACCAAAAAUAAUUCAAAAUUGUCAAUAACGUGAACCGGCUGAGUCCGAGUAUAAUAUAUUCAACGAAGUGUCUAAACUUACGUGCCGAUAAAAAGCAGAACGCUAGACAAUUCUUUGUGAUAUUAUCCGCAACCUAAUUGGUUGAUCAGCCAUCUAGAAGCUCUGCAAAUUGUUACAUUUCAACAAUACUUGCACAUGAGAUGACAUUUUUAUUUGCAAUUAUUAUUAAAAAAAUAUUAGGAUAAUUAUAUUUACAAAUUUGGUUAUUCAGAGAGAAAAUCGGUUCUGAAACCUAUUUUACUGACGUAGAAAUUUUAUAUGAUAACAAAGACUACAACCAAAGAAUUGCGAAGAGAAUUAAAUUAUUGUUAUAACAUCUGUAAUUGGAAUACCCGCUGUGCACGCUGUUUAUUGUAUAAAUGUAAACAUAUAUAUGGUAUUGCUUGUGAUUACGUUGAGAUCAUGUUCGCCUUCUAAAUGUACGUAUAUUUAAAUUAUAUUUCUUUUUAAAAAAUUCUAUUCUUCCCUAAGAUAUCGCUCUAUAGAGCGUUGAGGUGGACUUAUUCCUGUUGAAUGACAACGGUUUCGCUUAAAAGACGAGAAAAAACGAGAAAUAGUUUAACGUAAGUUUUUCCUUUUUAUAAUCGAAAGAAUUUCAAAAGAACAGCUAGAUUUUAGAUUCGUUUUACUCUCGGGUUUUCAAAAUCGAUUUAAUUUAAUGACGGUACAAAGGCACCUUUUCCGACAUGAUCACAUUAAAAAAGAAUUGUUAAGCAAGAAGAUGAAAAUACGUUGUAAAUAUUGUACGAUUUGUUAAAGACAAAAGGUUCUAGACCUCAAACCAUCGUUUCAGAUUGUAAAAUAAAUAGAAUUUGCUGAAAAGUUAA